rnacentral:rRNA from 1 species
UACAGAGGGUGCAGGCGUUUGUUCGGAAUUAUUGGGCGUAAAGGGCGCGUAGGCGGUUCGGCAAGUCUCUAGUGAAAUCUCUGGGCUCAACUCAGAGUCUGCUGGGGAAACUGCCGGGCUCGAGUGUGGGAGAGGAGAGUGGAAUUCCCGGUGUAGCGGUGAAAUGCGUAGAUAUCGGGGAGGAACACCUGUGGCGAAAGCGGCUCUCUGGACCACAACUGACGCUGAGGCGCGAAAGCUAGGGGAGCAAACAGG